rnacentral:rRNA from 1 species
GACGAACCGUGCGAACGUUAUUCGGAAUCACUGGGCUUAAAGGGCGCGUAGGCGGGUUCUCAAGUCAGGGGUGAAAUCCCGCGGCUCAACCGUGGAAGUGCCUUUGAUACUGGGGACCUCGAGGGAGGUAGGGGCGUGCGGAACUUCCGGUGGAGCGGUGAAAUGCGUAGAUAUCGGGAAGAACACCCGUGGCGAAGGCGGUUCUCUGGGACGGUACUGACGCUGAGACGCGAAAGCGUGGGGAGCGAACAGG